CUUGUUGGUGAGGUAACGGCUCACCAAGGCGACGACGGGUAGCCGGCCUGAGAGGGCGACCGGCCACACUGGGACUGAGACACGGCCCAGACUCCUACGGGAGGCAGCAGUGGGGAAUAUUGCACAAUGGGCGAAAGCCUGAUGCAGCGACGCCGCGUGAGGGAUGACGGCCUUCGGGUUGUAAACCUCUUUCAGCAGGGAAGAAGCGAAAGUGACGGUACCUGCAGAAGAAGCGCCGGCUAACUACGUGCCAGCAGCCGCGGUAAUACGUAGGGCGCAAGCGUUGUCCGGAAUUAUUGGGCGUAAAGAGCUCGUAGGCGGCUUGUCACGUCGGUUGUGAAAGCCCGGGGCUUAACCCCGGGUCUGCAGUCGAUACGGGCAGGCUAGAGUUCGGUAGGGGAGAUCGGAAUUCCUGGUGUAGCGGUGAAAUGCGCAGAUAUCAGGAGGAACACCGGUGGCGAAGGCGGAUCUCUGGGCCGAUACUGACGCUGAGGAGCGAAAGCGUGGGGAGCGAACAGGAUUAGAUACCCUGGUAGUCCACGCCGUAAACGGUGGGCACUAGGUGUGGGCAACA
rnacentral:rRNA from 1 species